GCCAGGUGUGGUGGCUCAUGCCUAUAAUCCCAGCACUUUGGGAGGCCGAGGUGGGUGGAUCACCUGAGGUCAGGAGUUCUGGACCAGCCUGGCCAACAUGGUGAAAACCCGUCUCUA
ensembl:misc_RNA Metazoa_SRP Metazoan signal recognition particle RNA